CAAUAGCGUAUAUUAAAGUUGUUGCAGUUAAAAAGCUCGUAGUUGGAUUUCUGAUCGAGACAUCAGGUCGGGUCCGAGAGGAUCAUGUACUUUGAUUUUGUUUCGAUCAUCCUUGGGGAGAGCAUUUCUGGCAUUCAGUUGUCGGGAUUGGGAUCCUCAUCGUUUACUGUGAAAAAAUUAGAGUGUUCAAAGCAGGCCUCGGCCUCUGAAUACAUUAGCAUGGAAUGAUAAGAUAGGACUUUGGUGGUCUAUUUUGUUGGUUUGCACGCCAAAGUAAUGAUUAAUAGGGAUAGUUGGGGGUAUUCGUAUUCAAUUGUCAGAGGUGAAAUUCUUGGAUUUAUGGAAGACGAACUACUGCGAAAGCAUUUACCAAGGAUGUUUUCAUUAA
rnacentral:rRNA from 1 species